GUUGCCCGAAGCCCGGGGUGCGCUGCGGAGCGCUCCCCGGGUUUCGGGCUGCAGGCUGCUAUCCGCAAGCCUUGGGAGCCCAACGGGAACUCCCGCGGAGCUCCCAAGGCUUGCGGAUAGCUUCCUGAAGCCUGGAGAGCGAGAGGGGUUGGUGCGCACCGACCCCUCUCACUCUC